rnacentral:rRNA from 1 species
UCUUGGUCAUUUAGAGGAAGUAAAAGUCGUAACAAGGUUUCCGUAGGUGAACCUGCGGAAGGAUCAUUAAUGAAUGCAAAGCGCGUGGCGUCGUCUGUCGCUGGCCCUCUUGGGGGCAUGUGCACGGCUGCGUUGCGUCUUUCCACUACACCUCUGUGCACCUUUGCGUGGGCCCCCUUCACCGGGAGCUUGCGUCUUUCAUAUACUAUUGCACGGUCUCAGAAUGGCACUUGCGUAAAACGCAACUAUUACAACUUUCAGCAACGGAUCUCUUGGCUCUCGCAUCGAUGAAGAACGCAGCGAAAUGCGAUAAGUAAUGUGAAUUGCAGAAUUCAGUGAAUCAUCGAAUCUUUGAACGCACCUUGCACCCUUUGGUAUUCCGAAGGGUACACCUGUUUGAGUGUCGUGAAUUCCUCCCCUGUUCGCCUUUGCGGGUUUGAACGGCGGGGACUUUGGGGGUUUGCAGGUCCUUUGGAUCGGCUCCCCUUGAAUGCAUUAGCGAACGCCGUAACGCGGCCUUGGUGUGAUAGUCAUCUACGCCUUGGUUCAGUGUGGAAAGGCCCGCUUCGAACCGUCUCUUUGCUGAGACAACUUUCAUUGAACUUGACCUCAGAUCAGGUGGGACUACCCGCUGAACUUAAGCAUAUCAAAA